GUGCUCAAUUCAGCAGUACAUAUACUAAAAUUGUAACACUACAAAGAAGUUUAGCAUGGCCCUGUGAAAGGAUGAUACUCAACUUCAUGAAGUCUUCCAUAUUUUU